rnacentral:rRNA from 1 species
CAUGCAAGUCGAGGGGCAGCAUGGUCUUAGCUUGCUAAGGCCGAUGGCGACCGGCGCACGGGUGAGUAACACGUAUCCAACCUGCCGUCUACUCUUGGACAGCCUUCUGAAAGGAAGAUUAAUACAAGAUGGCAUCAUGAGUCCGCAUGUUCACAUGAUUAAAGGUAUUCCGGUAGACGAUGGGGAUGCGUUCCAUUAGAUAGUAGGCGGGGUAACGGCCCACCUAGUCUUCGAUGGAUAGGGGUUCUGAGAGGAAGGUCCCCCACAUUGGAACUGAGACACGGUCCAAACUCCUACGGGAGGCAGCAGUGAGGAAUAUUGGUCAAUGGGCGCAGGCCUGAACUAGCCAAGUAGCGUGAAGGAUGACUGCCCUAUGGGUUGUAAACUUCUUUUAUAAAGGAAUAAAGUCGGGUAUGUAUACCCGUUUGCAUGUACUUUAUGAAUAAGGAUCGGCUAACUCCGUGCCAGCAGCCGCGGUAAUACGGAGGAUCCGAGCGUUAUCCGGAUUUAUUGGGUUUAAAGGGAGCGUAGAUGGAUGUUUAAGUCAGUUGUGAAAGUUUGCGGCUCAACCGUAAAAUUGCAGUUGAUACUGGAUAUCUUGAGUGCAGUUGAGGCAGGCGGAAUUCGUGGUGUAGCGGUGAAAUGCUUAGAUAUCACGAAGAACUCCGAUUGCGAAGGCAGCCUGCUAAGCUGCAACUGACAUUGAGGCUCGAAAGUGUGGGUAUCAAACAGGAUUAGAUACCCUGGUAGUCCACACGGUAAACGAUGAAUACUCGCUGUUUGCGAUAUACAGCAAGCGGCCAAGCGAAAGCGUUAAGUAUUCCACCUGGGGAGUACGCCGGCGACGGUGAAACUCAAGGAAUUGACG